rnacentral:rRNA from 1 species
UGACGCUGAGGCGCGAAGGCGUGGGGAGCGAACAGGAUUAGAUACCCUGGUAGUCCACGCAGUAAACGUUGAUCACUAGGUGUAGCGGGUAUUGACCCCUGCUGUGCCGGAGUUAACGCAUUAAGUGAUCCGCCUGGGGAGUACGAUCGCAAGAUUAAAACUCAAAGGAAUUGACGUGGGCCCGCACAACCGGUGGAGCAUGUGGUUUAAUUCGACGCAACGCGAAGAACCUUACCUGGACUUGACAUCUCGGGAAUUCCGUUGAAAGACGGGAGUGCCUUUAACGAGGAAUCCGAUGACAGGUGCAGCAUGGCUGUCGUCAGCUCGUGUCGUGAGACGUUGGGUUAAGUCCCGCAACGAGCGCAACCCCUAUCUUCAGUUACCAUCAGGUAAAGCUGGGGACUUUGGAGAUACUGCCCCGGUUAACGCCGAGGAAGGUGGGGAUGACGUCAAGUCCUCAUGGCCUUUAUGUCCAGGGCUACACACGUGCUACAAUGGUAUGUACUAAGGGAAGCGAUCCCGCGAGGAGGAGCUAAUCGCANAAAGCAUAUCAAAGUUCGGAUCGGCGUCUGCUACUCGACUCCGUGAAGUUGGAAUCGCUAGUAAUCGCGGAUCAGCAUGCCCCGGUGAUACGUUCCCGGCCAUUGUACACACCGCCCGUCACACC